rnacentral:lncRNA from 1 species
CUGGAACCCCGGGAUGCCCCCACCAGUACAAACCAGUACGGACCAGUUUGGGUCAGUUUGGACCAGUCUGAACCAUUUUGGGUCACUUUGGACCAGUUUGGACCAGUUUGGGCCACCUUGGACCACUUAGGAUCAGUUUGGCCCAGUUUGGCCCAGUACGGACCAGUUUGGCCCAGUUGGGAUCAGUUUGGACCAGUCUGAACCAUUUUGGUUCACUUUGGACCAGAACGGACCAGUUUGAACCAGUUUGGGCCACUUUGGCCCACUUUGGACCAGUUUGGACCAGUCUGAACCAUUUUGGGCCACUUUGGCCCAGUUUGGACCAGUCUGGACCACUUUGGGCCAGUUUGGGCCAGUAAUUCCCAGUUUCCCUGG